rnacentral:lncRNA from 1 species
UUGAAAUCUACCAUUUAUUAAUAUUAAUUAAUAGAAAUAAAAGAAAAACCUAGAAAAUCAAUUUUUGUGGAACAAACUCAAAACACUAAGGAAAAUCAAAUAUCUAAGAACAGAGGGAGUAUCUUUUAAUGUGUGAAAAAAUCAUAAACGAUACUUAAAAUGAAAGAAUAUCAUUGAUACAUCAUUGAAUCGAUAUAAUGUUAAUGUAGACAGUGAUUAGGUGGAACCACAAUUACAUACUCUAAUCAAUUAUUUAAAUUAAUAGAGAAAUUGUUAAAAAUGCCCCUUUUUCAAUACCCCUUUUCAAAAAUGCCCCCUUUGAGAGUCCAUUUUUAAGUUUGCCCUCUUUUAUUUUUUAAUGACCAUUUUACCCUUAUUUGAAACAAAAUUAGCUCAACAAAAUACAAAAUAUUUUUUGGCGGGAAAAGUGAUCCCGCAAUUUUCCCGCCAAAACACUUGUAAAAACUUUAAAAUAUCUGGUAAAAUUUUUCCGUAAAAAUUUUUCUCGCCAAAAAUUUUUUUUACGGGAAAAUUUUUUUUGCGGGAAAAGUGAUUACGCAAUUUUUUUGGCGGGAAAAAUUUACAAGGUAUUUUAAAGGUUUUACAGAGUAUUUACAAGUGUUUUGUAAGGUUUUACA